AUCGUACUCCCUCCAUCUGGAAAUACUUGUCAUCAAAAUGGACAAAAAAAAUGUAUCUAAAACUAAAAGACAUCUAGAUACAUCCUCUUUUAUUUAUUUUGAUGACAAGUAUUUUCGGACGGAGGGAGUACCUU
rfam:Triticum aestivum genome assembly, contig: Triticum_aestivum_CS42_TGACv1_scaffold_406038_5BL